UACGUAGGGUGCGAGCGUUAAUCGGAAUUACUGGGCGUAGAGCGUGCGCAGGCGGUGAUGUAAGACAGAUGUGAAAUCCCCGGGCUCAACCUGGGAACUGCAUUUGUGACUGCAUCGCUGGAGUGCGGCAGAGGGGGAUGGAAUUCCGCGUGUAGCAGUGAAAUGCGUAGAUAUGCGGAGGAACACCGAUGGCGAAGGCAAUCCCCUGGGCCUGCACUGACGCUCAUGCACGAAAGCGUGGGGAGCAAACAGG
rnacentral:rRNA from 1 species